rnacentral:rRNA from 1 species
AUUAAACGCUGGCGGCAGGCCUAACACAUGCAAGUCGAGCGAGCGGCGGACGGGUGAGUAAUGUCUGGGAAACUGCUGGAUGGAGGGGGAUAAAUACUGGAAACGGUAGCUAAUCCCGCAUACCAUCAGAUGUGCCCAGAUGGGAUUGGCUAGUAGGUGGGGUAACGGCUCACCUCGGCGACGAUCCCUAGCUGGUCUGAGAGGAUGACCAGCCACACUGGAACUGAGACACGGUCCAGACGCCUACGGGAGGCAGCAGUGGGGAAUAUUGCACAAUGGGCGCAAGCCUGAUGCAGCCAUGCCGCGUGUGUGAAGAAGGCCUUCGGGUUGUAAAGCACUUUCAGCGGGGAGGCGUUACCCGCAGAAGAAGCACCGGCUAACUCCGUGCCAGCAGCCGCGGUAAUUC